UUACUCAAAUUUAAGACCUUUUAUUUGGACGGUUAGACACUUCGAGCAACAGUCAUGUUUGAAACCGUACCUGCCGCACCUCCUGCUCCUGCGGAAAAGACUCCUGGGAAGAAAAAGGCCCGCAAGCCCGCCGGUGCCACGAAGCGCAAGGCGUCCGCGUCCCCGGUGUCGGAGCUCAUCACCAAGGCUGUCUCUGCUUCCAAGGAGCGCAGUGGCGUGUCCCUGGCUGCGAUGAAGAAGGCGCUGCCGGCCGCCGGAUACGACGUGAAGAACAGCCACAUCAAGUUAGGACUUCAGAGCCUGGUGAACAAGGGCACUCUGGUGCAGACCAAGGGCACCGGCGCCUCGGGCUCCUUUAUACUCAACAAAAAGGCGACCACCCGGCAUGCCAAGCCCAAGGCUAAGAAAGUAGGAACAGCCAAUCCUAAAAAGGCUGCUGGGGCAGUUAAGUCCAAGGCGAGGGGCGCGACCACCCCGGAAAAAAGCGUUAAGACGACCCCCAAGAAGGUGAAAAAGACAGUAGCGACUAUCCGGGCCAAGGUGGCCAAGAGCCCGAAGGAGUUUAAAACAACCAAACCGAAGGAAGUGUCCAAGGCCAAAGCUCCUAAGCCCAAGUUAUACCAGAACCCAAGGAACACAGACACCUGUGCUGGAAAUCAGCCACCCCAAAGGUUUUCUCAUCUGUCAGCAUUUGCAAAGGAAAAAAGGAGAAACUCCCCAAAACGAUAGUAACCAACUCUGUGUCUUGACUUUAAGAGAAAGUUACUGGAAGCGGCCUAUUUAAAAGGCCUUCAAGGCACAGAUGACAAGAAACUCAGAGGGCUCUUUAGGAAUUGAGGGAGGCCACCUACUAACAGCCUAUAAGGGCUUCCAGUGGACAGCCAACAAGAAAAUAAGACACUAAGUCCUACAACCACAAAGAAUGUGUUUGGAUCAGAUAUUUCUCCAUUGAAGAGGCUUCAGUCCUGGAUAACACCUCAAUACCAUCCUUACAAAGCACCCAGAUAAACUAUGCCCAGAUACACAGAAUCUGUGAGAUAAUGUGUGUUGCCUGAAGUGAGACUGCCAACACAUUUGGCAUCUUAAUCAAUCCAUGUCAUCUAAAAUAACAGGUAAGUUUCAGAGCCAUGUGAACUUCCAAUCAUACACCCAAUUCUGAACUUGCACAUAUACUGAUAAUGCCUUGCUGGCCUCCCAAAUGGGAAGUCUAUAAGCCAUGACAAGUCCUAAAAGCAAUUUAUCGAAGUCAUUUUGCUUUCAGCAGUACAAAAUAUUGUAUUAAAGUAUCAAAAUAUUGACACAGGAAAACUAUCCAUUUCCAUCCAUAUCUAUACUCCCUACACUUCUACAUCUUCUUGUAUUCCUGUUUUGUUUUCUUUUUUCUGAGGCACACCAAAUGAAGGCAGCGAAUACAGAAAAGAAAUACAAAAGAAAAAUGAGUCAAAAUUAAGGCUUCAGACCCUGCUUCAGCAUGAUGUAGAAUUGAUUAUAUCACUAAUAACCUCAAGGCAAAGUGAAUUUUUUUUUCUUUUUAAUGUAAAUUUGAAAACUCAUCUUUGAACCAGUCUAGCCUAUUAAUAGUUGAGAUUAAAUUCUGGGGUUCCACUAAAUACUCCAGACCUACUCCAAUAAAUACUCUGUAACCGA